CGCUGAGGGUGAAGUUGUGGCUCCGCUCGCGGCAGAGACGGAACCUAUUUCGGUCGCAGCUUCCAGCAGACCACCUGCCACCAAUGCAAACUGCCUGAGACUACGCUCCCUCCCCCACCCUCACCGCCGUCGUGCAAGACGCUCAGGCUGCUAGGUGCACCCCGCUGCGGCAGACCUGCAGGCGGAUUCACCUCCGAAAGCGGGCGCGAGCUAGUUAUUGCAAUAGAGUAAAAAUUCCUGCCAGGCUGGCUACUACCGCCGAGACACGUAAUCAUGCCGGAAAAGUCUUCCUUCUCAUCAACGUUUCGAAAGGACGCUGCCGAGCCUUUCCAACAGUUUGCCCCAGGAAUUGAGCAACUCUCAGGAUGAUUUUAAGCAACGUUUACUUGUCCUCUGGAGCUUCAGUGUUGGGCAACGGUUAUGUGACCCGGUGGUGGGGGGUGCCGGACAGCAUCCGGGACUCCUGCAGCCUCCUGCGACCCACCUGAGAUCCGGGGUUUGGGGAGAACCGGCCGGCGGAGCCCGUUUGUCUGGAGGUUUGUCCCGCGGCUGCCGCCCCCUCCACGCCCCCUCCGCCUGCGCCGGCCCCUGCCCCACAAACAGCAAAUAAGGACCCUAGCGGAAUGAGUCAUCUGCGGGAAGGCCCACUCCUCCCCUAACCCCUGCCUGGCAUCGCCCGCCCCAGGCCAGUUCCGGGAAGAGCUAGUCCAGGAGUAGCUGCGAGGUGCGGGAGAGGCGGCACCGCCCCCCCACCUCGCCCCCCGGCCCCGCAUAGGGUCUGGGAUCUGGGGAGGGUGGGAAGCCAGGGGAGCAAGCACUGGGCACGUACCGUCUUGCUCACCGCGGGGCUCUUCUUAGGCUUCGACCUAUCAGGCUUUGCUGACAAUGACGCCUGAAAGUUGAAGAAAAGGAAACUGAAAGUCUAAGCCUGUUAGCGGACGUGGCGCCUUCCAGCCGCAGUCCCGCCUCCAUUGGCCUUUCUGAAGACUUCUCUAGGCACAUAAGCCUGAGAAAGUUUGAUGGCCUACCGUUCAGUGUUAGGCCCAGAGACGCCCCUGAUGAGGGAGCAGAAGGGGACAAAGCAAAAGCUGACCAUCCCACGACCCCCUCCCCCAGAUGGGACAGGUGUGACAUUCCUCAGGCACUCCUGGCUGCCUUAAAGCUAAGGAAAGGAAAAACAAAUAGUUAACUUACAGAGUUAUAUAUGUUACCACAGAUUCCCACUCACUUUUCUUAUCAAAUUCUCAUAGAUUUUCUUGAAUAGAUGUUUUUUCAUUUGCUAUUUUCUCUGCAAGACAGGAGUCUCCCUCAGUUUACAAAUGUCUUAGCAAUUUACAAGAACAAAGCAUUUCUAUCAAUAACCUAGCUUCCUGAAGGAAAUGUAGAUACAAUGAAAUGUCCUUAUAACCUGCAGCCCAUUGACAGACGUGAAGCGGGCAGAGCGUAAUGCUCCUCCAGGAGGCUCCCAGCUGUCUUAGUGUUACUGCCUUGCUUUCUAGGAGAAACAACCUUAACUUGACAAUGGCAAAGCCUCCGGGUAUCCUGUGAGUCUUCUUUAACAUAAGACAAUCCUUCUGAAACCUCCCUUUUCCUUAGUCCCCCAACCCCACAGUAGACAAUCAGCCACCCCUCACAAACCCAGGGCAGCUCUCUCUGCCCACGGGUCCUGUCCCCUUCCUUUAAUAAACCACCUUUUUGCACCAGAGACGUCUCAAAAAUUCUUUCUCGGCCCUCGGCUGCACAUUGCACUCCAAUGAACCUCAUCUAUAUUCCAAAACCCCAACACUCCCACUCACCGACCCCAAUGAGUCCCUUUGAAUUAAAACACUCAUGUACCACAGCCAACCGGCUGUUAACACUCGACUGCGUAGGGGAGAAAACUGUCACCCCAAAAUGUGUCCCUUUGGCAUGUGGAUUACUUGAGGUGAUUAUUUUUAAGAAACAAAAGACUCUGGAAGAAACUUUGACCCUCCCUGUAGCUGUGUGGAAGACUAUAGAUGGAGGACCUGCUCUGGGAAGAGAGUUGUCUGACCAUAGUUUACUACAGUAUAAUAGGAACUAGGUGUUUUAGACAGAGAAGAAUUUAGCAAAGUCUGUUUGUUAAAAUUCCUCUCUAAGUCCCAUUGUUUCUGUAAGGCCAGCAAACAUUUGUUUACCAUUUACUCUUUCAUCUUCCUGUGAAUUGUCUUCCUUCCCUUUGAAGUCCCAGACCUCUUACCCCUUCUCCUUACCUCUCAAUUGCCUGAUUGCUUGAUAGGCAAAUAAAUUUUAUAUUCUCCUGUUAAUCUGUCAUAUGUCAAUUUAAUUCUUAGACCAGACAAAAGAAUCUUGAGGGGUAAAGUGAAAUUGUCCUCUUUUUCAAUAACUGGAUAUGCUAUGAACCCCAGGUGUUUGUUUAAAAUAGUUGUAGCUGUCAUAAGGAGCAAGCAAGCACCACUAGUGUUUCUUAUCGAUGCUUGGGAAUAAUAAUAAAUAACAAAUGUGAAAGCA